rnacentral:rRNA from 1 species
GGUGAACCAGCGGAGGGAUCAUUACCGAGUUUACAACUCCCAAACCCAAUGUGAACGUUACCAAACUGUUGCCUCGGCGGGAUCUCUGCCCCGGGUGCGUCGCAGCCCCGGACCAAGGCGCCCGCCGGAGGACCAACCAAAAACUCUUUUGUAUACCCCCUCGCGGGUUUUUUUUUAUAUCUGAGCCAUCUCGGCGCCUCUCGUAGGCGUUUCGAAAAUGAAUCAAAACUUUCAACAACGGAUCUCUUGGUUCUGGCAUCGAUGAAGAACGCAGCGAAAUGCGAUAAGUAAUGUGAAUUGCAGAAUUCAGUGAAUCAUCGAAUCUUUGAACGCACAUUGCGCCCGCCAGUAUUCUGGCGGGCAUGCCUGUCCGAGCGUCAUUUCAACCCUCGAACCCCUCCGGGGGGUCGGCGUUGGGGAUCGGCCCUUUACGGGGCCGGCCCCGAAAUACAGUGGCGGUCUCGCCGCAGCCUCUCCUGCGCAGUAGUUUGCACACUCGCAUCGGGAGCGCGGCGCGUCCAUUGCCGUAAAACACCCAACUUUCUGAAAUGUUGACCUCGGAUCAGGUAGGA